rnacentral:rRNA from 1 species
UACGUAGGGUGCGAGCGUUAAUCGGAAUUACUGGGCGUAAAGCGUGCGCAGGCGGUUCUGAAAGUCAGCUGUGAAAGCCCCGGGCUUAACCUGGGAAUGGCGGUUGAAACUACAGGACUAGAAUCUGGCAGAGGGGGGUGGAAUUCCACGUGUAGCAGUGAAAUGCGUAGAGAUGUGGAGGAACACCGAUGGCGAAGGCAGCCCCCUGGGCUGAGAUUGACGCUCAGGCACGAAAGCGUGGGGAGCGAACAGG